GUCCACGCCCUAAACGAUGUCAACUAGGUGUUGGGAGCGCAAGUUCUCAGUACCGCAGCUAACGCGUGAAGUUGACCGCCUGGGGAGUACGGUCGCAAGAUUAAAACUCAAAGGAAUUGACGGGGACCCCGCACAAGCGGUGGAUGAUGUGGAUUAAUUCGAUGCAACGCGAACAACCUUACCUACCCUUGACAUGUCCGGAAGGCUGCUGAAAGGCGGUUGUGCCCGCAAGGGAACCGGAACACAGGUGCUGCAUGGCUGUCGU
rnacentral:rRNA from 1 species